rnacentral:rRNA from 1 species
UUUUAUAAUAAAAAAAAAAUAAAAAAAACGCCCGAUCUCGUCAGAUCUCGAAAGCUAAGCAGGGUCGGGCCUGGUUAGUACUUGGAUGGGAGACCGCCUGGAAAUACCGGGUGCUGUAAGCU